rnacentral:lncRNA from 1 species
AAAAAGAACUAUCUCCAAAAAUGAGAAAAAGAAAAUGGCAAGCAGAUAAACCAAAAGAAGAGUUGUUUUCAGCUGAAGGUGAUUGACAUAACAAGGGACUGAGAGUUCAGUAUUUUCAGAAGUAUUUUCAGUGUUAGAUGAUUUUGGCAUAACUCUUGGCAUAAGGACGAAAUAUAAGGGUACAGGUAAAAUAAUGUGGUAUCUGUUUUCUGUAUAUCACAUGAAUGUAUUCUAAAAGGAUGGAUGCAGAAAACCAAAAACAGCUCUCUAAGGUAGGUAUUUCAUUUUAGUGGUUUCAGUGCAAAAUAUUUUGGCUGGCAGCAUUUGUUUCUGAGGUGCAGCUCCUUAGAGCCAAAUCCUGUGAAAUAUUAAGAAUUCUUAUUAUCUUCUGGAGAUUGGCAAUAUUAAUAAUUCCCCAGAUCAAUACUUUACCUUACUAAUUCAGUGCUGUGAAUGCUCACUGUCUAUCUGGAGGUGAUGGGGUCAAUGUAAUUGUGCAUCAUCCCAGCUGACAGUAUCAGCUCCUUUCCACUAACUCCUGAGGAGGCCCCAUGGUUUGAUCCUCAUUCACAUAUAAGUUACAUGCUUACAGCAAGCAGUGUGGCACUUCUUGUCAGAGUUCAGCAUAUGCUCCGUUGCAGACCUUUCUUCAAGGCCUCUGAACUUCAGCUGCAGUGUUUCAAUUGGAAAAGCUCUCUCUGUAGAUAGAUUAUCAGUAACAUUGGCAGCCAUGGCACUGGAAUGUGGAAUCCAUUGGGCUGCUCACCAAAUUAACUGAAGUACUCCUGGAGAGAACCUCUAGAGCAAGCAGGCUCUCAUGUAAAAGCAAGGUGGGAGAAGAGCUUCUGAUACACUCAGAGCACUCUGUUGUAGUGCACUUAGUACACUCCUGUGAAGGUGCUGUGCUGAAGACCCUGAACUCUGCCCUGACCUAUGGCUUCAGCUUUCAGAUCCAUCUCACACUGCCCAGCACUGAUGUACAGUGCAGCAUGAGAUCCUGCCCAGAGGAGCCUGGUGCUGCUUGCUACAAGGACAGAUUUAUAACUCUGCAGUAA